rnacentral:rRNA from 1 species
UACGUAGGGCGCAAGCGUUAUCCGGAAUUAUUGGGCGUAAAGAGCUCGUAGGCGGUUUGUCGCGUCUGCCGUGAAAGUCCGGGGCUCAACUCCGGAUCUGCGGUGGGUACGGGCAGACUAGAGUGAUGUAGGGGAGACUGGAAUUCCUGGUGUAGCGGUGAAAUGCGCAGAUAUCAGGAGGAACACCGGUGGCGAAGGCGGAUCUCUGGGCCUUACCUGACGCUGAGGCGCGAAAGCUAGGGGAGCGAACAGG